ensembl:lncRNA
GUAAGUACAUCCAAUAUAACUGGGACUUCACUCUGGGCAUACAGGCGAGUGUACAACACAAUAUGCUGGCUUUAGCUUUGGGCAUAAGGUAAGUACAUCAAAUGUAACUGGGACUUCACUUGGGCAUACACGCGAGUACAGGCGAGUGUACAACACAAUAUGCUGGCUUUAGCUUUGGGCAUAAGGUAAGUACAUCCAAUAUAACUGGGACUUUACUCUGGGCAGACAGGUGGGUGUACAACACAAUAUGCUGACUUUAGCUUUGGGCAUACGCUUACGGUGAAUAUACAGGGAAACAGGAAGUGAUGUAACUCACAGACCUUCGAGGGAAUAGACGUCAGACGUUCCUUUUCUGAGGCUUCUACCAACUGCUGAUAGAGAGGCGGAUCGAAAACUGUUG